rnacentral:rRNA from 1 species
ACCAACGCCCUUUCGGGGCUUCUUGGUGAUUCAUGAUAACUUAACGGAUCGCAUGGCCUUGCGCCGGCGACGGUUCAUUCAAAUUUCUGCCCUAUCAACUUUCGAUGGUAAGGUAUUGGCUUACCAUGGUUUCAACGGGUAACGGGGAAUUAGGGUUCGAUUCCGGAGAGGGAGCCUGAGAAACGGCUGCCACAUCCAAGGAAGGCAGCAGGCGCGCAAAUUACCCAAUCCCAAUACGGGGAGGUAGUGACAAUAAAUACUGAUACAGGGCUCUUUUGGGUCUUGUAAUUGGAAUGAGUACAAUUUAAACCUCUUAACGAGGAACAAUUGGAGGGCAAGUCUGGUGCCAGCAGCCGCGGUAAUUCCAGCUCCAAUAGCGUAUAUUAAAGUUGUUGCAGUUAAAAAGCUCGUAGUUGAACCUUGGGUCUGGCUGGCAGGUCCGCCUCACCGCGUGUACUUGUCCGGCCGGGCCUUCCUUCUGGAGAACCUCAUGCCCUUCACUGGGCGUGUUGGGGACCAGGACUUUUACUUUGAAAAAAUUAGAGUGUUCAAAGCAGGCCUUUGCUCGAAUACGUUAGCAUGGAAUAAUAAAAUAGGACGUGCGGUCCUAUUUUGUUGGUUUCUAGGACCGCCGUAAUGAUUAAUAGGGACAGUCGGGGGCAUCAGUAUUCAAUUGUCAGAGGUGAAAUUCUUGGAUUUAUUGAAGACUAACUACUGCGAAAGCAUUUGCCAAGGAUGUUUUCAUUAAUCAGUGAACGAAAGUUAGGGGAUCGAAGACGAUCAGAUACCGUCGUAGUCUUAACCGUAAACUAUGCCGACUAGGGAUCGGGCGAUGUUCUUUUUCUGACUCGCUCGGCACCUUACGAGAAAUCAAAG